rnacentral:rRNA from 1 species
UUAAGUUAUUAAGGGCGCACGGUGGAUGCCUUGGCACUAGAAGCCGAUGAAGGACGUUACUAACGACGAUAUGCUUUGGGGAGCUGUAAGUAAGCUUUGAUCCAGAGAUUUCCGAAUGGGGAAACCCAGCAUGAGUUAUGUCAUGUUAUCGAUAUGUGAAUACAUAGCAUAUCAGAAGGCACACCCGGAGAACUGAAACAUCUUAGUACCCGGAGGAAGAGAAAGAAAAUUCGAUUCCCUUAGUAGCGGCGAGCGAAACGGGAAGAGCCCAAACCAACAAGCUUGCUUGUUGGGGUUGUAGGACACUCUAUACGGAGUUACAAAGGACGACAUUAGACGAAUCAUCUGGAAAGAUGAAUCAAAGAAGGUAAUAAUCCUGUAGUCGAAAAUGUUGUCUCUCUUGAGUGGAUCCUGAGUACGACGGAGCACGUGAAAUUCCGUCGGAAUCUGGGAGGACCAUCUCCUAAGGCUAAAUACUCUCUAGUGACCGAUAGUGAACCAGUACCGUGAGGGAAAGGUGAAAAGCACCCCGGAAGGGGAGUGAAAUAGAACCUGAAACCGUGUGCUUACAAGUAGUCAGAGCCCGUUAAUGGGUGAUGGCGUGCCUUUUGUAGAAUGAACCGGCGAGUUACGAUUUGAUGCAAGGUUAAGCAGUAAAUGUGGAGCCGUAGCGAAAGCGAGUCUGAAUAGGGCGUUUAGUAUUUGGUCGUAGACCCGAAACCAGGUGAUCUACCCUUGGUCAGGUUGAAGUUCAGGUAACACUGAAUGGAGGACCGAACCGACUUACGUUGAAAAGUGAGCGGAUGAACUGAGGGUAGCGGAGAAAUUCCAAUCGAACCUGGAGAUAGCUGGUUCUCUCCGAAAUAGCUUUAGGGCUAGCCUCAAGUGAUGAUUAUUGGAGGUAGAGCACUGUUUGGACGAGGGGCCCCUCUCGGGUUACCGAAUUCAGACAAACUCCGAAUGCCAAUUAAUUUAACUUGGGAGUCAGAACAUGGGUGAUAAGGUCCGUGUUCGAAAGGGAAACAGCCCAGACCACCAGCUAAGGUCCCAAAAUAUAUGUUAAGUGGAAAAGGAUGUGGCGUUGCCCAGACAACUAGGAUGUUGGCUUAGAAGCAGCCAUCAUUUAAAGAGUGCGUAAUAGCUCACUAGUCGAGUGACACUGCGCCGAAAAUGUACCGGGGCUAAACAUAUUACCGAAGCUGUGGAUUGUCCUUUGGACAAUGGUAGGAGAGCGUUCUAAGGGCGUUGAAGCAUGAUCGUAAGGACAUGUGGAGCGCUUAGAAGUGAGAAUGCCGGUGUGAGUAGCGAAAGACGGGUGAGAAUCCCGUCCACCGAUUGACUAAGGUUUCCAGAGGAAGGCUCGUCCGCUCUGGGUUAGUCGGGUCCUAAGCUGAGGCCGACAGGCGUAGGCGAUGGAUAACAGGUUGAUAUUCCUGUACCACCUAUAAUCGUUUUAAUCGAUGGGGGGACGCAGUAGGAUAGGCGAAGCGUGCGAUUGGAUUGCACGUCUAAGCAGUAAGGCUGAGUAUUAGGCAAAUCCGGUACUCGUUAAGGCUGAGCUGUGAUGGGGAGAAGACAUUGNGUCUUCGAGUCGUUGAUUUCACACUGCCGAGAAAAGCCUCUAGAUAGAAAAUAGGUGCCCGUACCGCAAACCGACACAGGUAGUCAAGAUGAGAAUUCUAAGGUGAGCGAGCGAACUCUCGUUAAGGAACUCGGCAAAAUGACCCCGUAACUUCGGGAGAAGGGGUGCUCUUUAGGGUUAACGCCCAGAAGAGCCGCAGUGAAUAGGCCCAAGCGACUGUUUAUCAAAAACACAGGUCUCUGCUAAACCGUAAGGUGAUGUAUAGGGGCUGACGCCUGCCCGGUGCUGGAAGGUUAAGAGGAGUGGUUAGCUUCUGCGAAGCUACGAAUCGAAGCCCCAGUAAACGGCGGCCGUAACUAUAACGGUCCUAAGGUAGCGAAAUUCCUUGUCGGGUAAGUUCCGACCCGCACGAAAGGCGUAACGAUUUGGGCACUGUCUCAACGAGAGACUCGGUGAAAUCAUAGUACCUGUGAAGAUGCAGGUUACCCGCGACAGGACGGAAAGACCCCGUGGAGCUUUACUGUAGCCUGAUAUUGAAAUUCGGCACAGCUUGUACAGGAUAGGUAGGAGCCUUUGAAACGUGAGCGCUAGCUUACGUGGAGGCGCUGGUGGGAUACUACCCUAGCUGUGUUGGCUUUCUAACCCGCACCACUUAUCGUGGUGGGAGACAGUGUCAGGCGGGCAGUUUGACUGGGGCGGUCGCCUCCUAAAAGGUAACGGAGGCGCUCAAAGGUUCCCUCAGAAUGGUUGGAAAUCAUUCAUAGAGUGUAAAGGCAUAAGGGAGCUUGACUGCGAGACCUACAAGUCGAGCAGGGUCGAAAGACGGACUUAGUGAUCCGGUGGUUCCGCAUGGAAGGGCCAUCGCUCAACGGAUAAAAGCUACCCCGGGGAUAACAGGCUUAUCUCCCCCAAGAGUUCACAUCGACGGGGAGGUUUGGCACCUCGAUGUCGGCUCAUCGCAUCCUGGGGCUGUAGUCGGUCCCAAGGGUUGGGCUGUUCGCCCAUUAAAGCGGUACGCGAGCUGGGUUCAGAACGUCGUGAGACAGUUCGGUCCCUAUCCGUCGUGGGCGUAGGAAAUUUGAGAGGAGCUGUCCUUAGUACGAGAGGACCGGGAUGGACAUACCUCUGGUGUACCAGUUGUCGUGCCAACGGCAUAGCUGGGUAGCUAUGUGUGGACGGGAUAAGUGCUGAAAGCAUCUAAGCAUGAAGCCCCCCUCAAGAUGAGAUUUCCCAACUUCGGUUAUAAGAUCCCUCAAAGAUGAUGAGGUUAAUAGGUUCGAGGUGGAAGCAUGGUGACAUGUGGAGCUGACGAAUACUAAUCGAUCGAAGACUUAAUCAA